rnacentral:rRNA from 1 species
UACAGAGGGUGCGAGCGUUAAUCGGAAUUACUGGGCGUAAAGCGCGCGUAGGCGGUUAUUUAAGUCGGAUGUGAAAUCCCCGAGCUCAACUUGGGAAUUGCAUUCGAUACUGGGUAGCUAGAGUAUGGGAGAGGAAGGUAGAAUUCCAGGUGUAGCGGUGAAAUGCGUAGAGAUCUGGAGGAAUACCGAUGGCGAAGGCAGCCUUCUGGCCUAAUACUGACGCUGAGGUGCGAAAGCAUGGGGAG